UUUUAUUUGUCUGAAAAUAUCUCUGGAGAGGAAUUCAAAAUAGGCAGACCUUCUCUUCACACUCUGUAAGGAAGGUAUAGAAGUUAUUUCUGCUCUUUCAUUAACCUCUUUACCUAUUUAGAAAACUAUUAUUUUGAAUCAAGAGGUGGUGCCAGCAAAAACUAAGUCACAUGUUUCUUUUCAGUGACAGAUACACUGUCUCCGGGAUAUGUCAGGAACCUGACCUCAGUCAUGACAAUACUGAGCUGUCUGCAGAACACCACGGCCAACUGUACAGAAAAAGCUGUGGAGCGUUUUCCCUGAGUGAGGAGGGACUGAAAAGGCUUCUGACCAUCUGGAACUGGCUGAAAACAGGGGGAAGCCUCAAAACUGGUACAGAUCUGUGUGAAAAGCAAAGGACAUUCCUAAGACAAUGAAAAAGACUUUGCAUUGGACCGUCUGCUUCCCCUGACAGUCAUUACAUCUCGUUUUGGGCCCUCACACGCGAAGGGGAAGAGUACCUGGAUCCAGUGGACUCCUAAGCCUGCACCCCCACGGCAAGGAUAGGUAAAUAAUGAUGAUUUCCUUGAAAAACUCUUAAGUUCCUGGGGGCCCCAGAAAAGGCAUUUGGACUUUGAGUUUCGUUUACUUUAUCUAAAAAGCACAUUUAUGUACUAUAUAUUUACUUUUUCCUUGAGUAUCUGGUGCAACACUUUUACAAGGAACCAACAGUAUUAGUAAAUACAGGUAAGUGACUGGCGACAUACAAGGAAAAAAACAAUCAGGCAUAGGCAAAUCAAAGACGUAAUCCAAAACAGGUAUUUCUGAGUAGUGGAUUAUGUUGUCUAAACCACAUCUCCACAUUAGAAAAGGGCAUUCAGGCAUUACAGUCGUGUUUGCUCGAGAUAAAGGUUUUCACAGAAGACGCCUCUGCCUAUGCAGAAACUACUCUCUUGGAGUCUGAGUAAGCUUUAUCAAAAACACACACUGCUAUAAUAAAUCCACAGUAUAAAAUCAUAAAA